AUCCCUUCUCUCUUCCUUGGUGCUUCUUUUUCCUGCUCGGUGAGUUUGUUUGUUUGUUUGUUUUUGAGACAGAGUCUCACUUUGCUUCCCAGGCUGGAGUGCAGUGGUGCGAUCUCAGCUUACUGCAGCCUCCGCUUCCGGGGUUCAAGCGAUUCUCCUGCCUCAGCCUGCCAAGUAGCUGGGACUACCGGCGCCCACCACCACGCCUGGCUAAUUUUUGAAUUUUUAGUAGAGAGUGGGUUUCACUAUGUUGGCCAGGCUGGUCUGGAACGCCUGACCUCAAGUGAUCCGUCCGCCUCGGCCUUCCAAAGUUCUGGGAUUACAGGCGUGAGCCACCGCGCCCGGCCUGAGUGAGUCUUAAUCCGUGGCCAUCUGCGUUCCUGCAGGCUUCAUCUGGCCCUAUGGUCCCCUGGCAUCAUGGCUGCCCUCAGAUCCCUUGUGAAGCCCAAGAUCGUCAAAAAGAGAACCAAGAAAUUCAUCCGGCACCAGUCAGACCGAUAUGUCAAAAUCAAGAUGAGAAGAAUAAUGUCUGGGGUGAAGGUGAAGCACCCAGCCCAAGACUCAGCAGCCAGGAAGUGGCCCAGCGCUCUUUAUACCACGGGUGCAGGAAUUCACACAGAAAAGUGGAGGCCAAGGCGUGAGAAUUCCUCAAUGACUGCCCUCUAAAGGAAGAGGUGAGUGUGGGGCCUGCUCUGAGUGCUA
rnacentral:lncRNA from 1 species